rnacentral:rRNA from 1 species
AACGAAGUGAAUUGAAAUAUCUUAGUAACUUUAGGAAAAGAAAUCAAACGAGAUUGUUAUUUGGUGCAAACUAAAUAACAAGAGCCUAUUAACAAAACUUGUUAAAGUAAAAUGGAUUAAAAUCUGUUUGAAUAUAGGGGAACCUUCCUCUAAGGCUAAAUAUGAUAUAUAAGCGAUAGUGAAAAGUACCGUGAGGUAAAAUUUGAAAUAGUAGUUUUAUAAGCAGCUCGAGUGAAAAUUUAAAUAAGUAAUAAGAGUGUACCUUUUGCAUAAUGGGUCAGCAAGUUAAUUUUAGAUGCAAGCAAUGAUUUCGUGCGCUUUGCGCAUGGAACUAGCUUAGAUAAACCAAUUAUGAGAAAAUGAAUAAGUAUCUAGAAUUAGACCCGAAGGCUAGUGAUCUUACCAUGGUCAGGAUUAUAAAAGUCCGAACGGGUUAUCGUUGUAUAGAUAUCCGAAGAAUUGUGGUAAGUUAGUGAAAGACAAAACUGACUAGUAUAGCUGGUUUUCCGCGAAACCUAUAUGAGUAGGUAAUUUAACUAACAUCUUAGCAGGUACAGAACUGUGAUCUCGGACAAUAUCUUUUGAUUUUGUCAACAUCGGGGGGUUGUAGUGACUUUACCGGAGAGUAUUUGCACUCGGAAUGGCAAAGAUGAAUGUUGAAUAAUCGGACAUAGUGCGAUAAGGUUGUAUGUCUAAAGGGAAACAGCCCAGAACAAGAGUUAAGGUUCCAAAAUUAUUGUUGAGUGAAAUUAAGGAUGUUUUUUUUAAAAACAAUCAGGAAAUAGGCUUAGAAGCGGCCAUUUUUUGAAGACCUCGUAACAGAGCACUGAUUAAUUAAAUUUAGAAAAAAACACCGAAAAUUUAACGGAUCUAAACAAUAUACCGAAACCUUGUACACAUAUUUAUAAUAUUAAUAUUGUAUAUGUGGGGUAGCGGAACAUUGGAUAAAUAUUAAUUAUUAUUUCUUCUAAGAAGUAAUAAGUAUGGAUUAUUAUUAAAAAUAUUUAUUUAUUAAAGAUAUUUAUGUAAUAUUAUUAUACCUAAAAGGUAUAAUGUUUAGAUGAAUAUAUAGAUAGAUUAUAUCUGUCUUUAUUAUUAAUAUAAUCCAUCGAUAUAAUCCAAGAGAGAAUGCUGACAUGAGUAACGAAAAAGGAAUAUCCUCGCCUUAAGCUUAUGGUAUUAUAUUUAAUUUUCGGUAUCUAAAAGUAUUAAUCAAAAGGUAAUUUUGAUGAUAUUUAUAUAUAAAUACUUAAAAAUAAAAAACAAAACCUUUAACAAGUAAUAAAGGUUCUGGAAAAUUUUUUAUUUUUAUUAAGUGAAGUAUAAUGCAAUAUAGGUAUAUUAUAAUUUAUAUAAUUUUCUUGUUACAAGUUUUCAAGAUUGUAUAGAUUUUAUCUAUAUUAAAUAUAUUUUCUUUUUUAUACUAUUGUAUAAGUAAGGUUUAUAUAUACCGUACCUAGAUACUAUCACAAGUAAGCAAGUAGAGAAUACAAAGGCGUUUGAGUGAACAAUCAUUAAGGAACUCGGCAAAUUGACUACCGUAACUUCGGGAUAAGGAGGGCCAUUAUGAUUAGUUUAACAUAUCUUAUGAUAUGAUUUAAUUAAACUAAUCAUAAGAGGAAACAUGAAAUAAUGUUGUACGACUGUUUAAUAAAAACACAGCACUCUGCAAAGAUAAAAUAUCAAAGUAUUGAGUGUGAUGUCUGCCCAAUGUCGGCUGGGUAACGGAUUUACCUUGGUUUUUAACUGAGGUUUUGAAGGAUACCCCGAUUAAUGGCGGCCUUACCUAUGAGGGUCCUAAGGUAGCGAAAUACCUUGGCCGUUAAAUGCGGUCCUGCAUGAAUGACUUAACGAUACAACAGCUGUCUCGAUGAUUGUCUCAGUGAAAUUGGAAUAGCAGUGCAGAUACUGUUUACCUCUAGAUAGACGAGAAGACCCUAUGCAGCUUUACUGUUACUAAUUGCAAGAGUGGAAAUUUAGGAUGAUUUCGAGUGUAUAAGGUAGUUGUUUGAUAACAAUGAAACACCUUUAUUCGUUUCCUACUAUAUGCUCUUGAGGAUUGGGAGGCAGUUUAUGCGGGGCACAGAUCCCACAAAAAGUACCUGGGUAUAUCCAAAGUUCAUUUUGUAAAUUUGUAAAUUUCUUUACAAAUAUUUUAAUUUGUUAUAAUUAUAUUCAUAAUUAUACAGUUAUUGUUAGAUUAAGUUCAAUAUUUAUUUUUUAUUUAAGUAAGAUUUUAACUAUAUGGUGAAUAGAUGUAUUUUAAACUUUACCCGGGGAGGGAGUGAUCCAACUCCGGGAUAUUUAAAAGUUUUUUCUCAUAUUAAUAUUGUAUUUUAUCUUUAUUGAUAUGAUAAUUAAUUAUACUUUAAAAGUUUAAUGGCUAAAUCUUGCUUUACUGUUUGACCUACAAGUCUAUCAGUCGCGUAAGCGGGGCAUAUGAUCACAAGAUGCAUAAAGGAAAGGUCUUGGAUUAACAGGCUAAUUUGCGCAAGAGAGUACAAAUUGAGUGCGCGGUUUGGCACCUCGAUGUCGGCUUAGCUCAUCCACAUGAAUGCAAAAAUCAUGAAGGGUUCGACUGUUCGUCGAUUAAAGAGCUACAUGAGCUGGGUUUAAUACGUCGUGAGACAGUAUGGUUUCUAUCUUCUAGAGGGAAUUAAAGUAGAAUAAAGAUAGCCCCUUCGUACGAAAGGAGUUGGGUAUAUUGACCUAUGGUUUACCUGUUGUUUAUGUUAUAUAUUAUUAUACAUAAUAUAUCAUUUACUUAUACUUAAGUAAAUUGUUCACAUAGGCAUGGCAGGAAGGCUACGUCAGUUAAAGAUAAGUGCUGAAAGCAUUUAAGCGCGAAGCUUACUUUAGGAUACUUUUAAACGUAGUAGAACACUACGAGUAUAAUUGUUAUAUACCCUUCGGGGUUCUAAUGAUUAAUAGGCUUUAGUUGUACUAAUCUUAACAUUUUUAGACAUAAAGU